rnacentral:rRNA from 1 species
AGGACGAACGCUGGCGGCGUGCCUAAUACAUGCAAGUCGAACGGUCUUUCUAUGGAAGCUUGCUUCCACUGAGAAGAUAGUGGCGAACGGGUGAGUAACACGUGGGUAACCUGCCCAUAAGAGGGGGAUAACAUCCGGAAACGGGUGCUAAUACCGCAUAGUUUUCUUGAUCGCAUGAUCGGGAAAGGAAAGACGGCCUUUGUGCUGUCGCUUAUGGAUGGACCCGCGGCGUAUUAGUUAGUUGGUGAGGUAACGGCUCACCAAGACGAUGAUACGUAGCCGACCUGAGAGGGUGAUCGGCCACAUUGGGACUGAGACACGGCCCAAACUCCUACGGGAGGCAGCAGUAGGGAAUCUUCCGCAAUGGACGAAAGUCUGACGGGGCAACGCCGCGUGAGUGAAGAAGGUUUUUUCGGAUCGUAAAACUCUGUUGUCAGAGAAGAACAAGUUGGAGAGUAACUGCUCCAGCCUUGACGGUAUCUGACCAGAAAGCCACGGCUAACUACGUGCCAGCAGCAGC